rnacentral:rRNA from 1 species
UACGAAGGGGGCUAGCGUUGUUCGGAAUACUGGGCGUAAAGCGUGCGCAGGCGGCUGCUCAAGUCAGGGGUGAAAGCCCAGAGCUCAACUCUGGAAUUGCCUUUGAGACUGAGUGGCUUGAGUACGGGAGAGGUGAGUGGAAUUCCCAGUGUAGAGGUGAAAUUCGUAGAUAUUGGGAAGAACACCGGUGGCGAAGGCGGCUCACUGGCCCGUAACUGACGCUCAUGCACGACAGCGUGGGGAUCAAACAGG